AUUGAACGCUGGCGGCAGGCCUAACACAUGCAAGUCGAACGAGUGGCGGACGGGUGAGUAAUGUCUGGGAAACUGCCCGAUGGAGGGGGAUAACUACUGGAAACGGUAGCUAAUACCGCAUACCAUCCGAUGAGCCCAGUUGGGAUUAGCUAGUGGGUGGGGUAACGGCUCACCUACGCGACGAUCCCUAGCUGGUCUGAGAGGAUGAUCAGCCACACUUGGACGGAGACACGGCCCAGACUCCUACGGGAGGCAGCAGUGGGGAAUAUUGCACAAUGGGCGCAAGCCUGAUGCAGCCAUGCCGCGUGUAUGAAGAAGGCCUUCGGGUUGUAAAGUACUUUCAGUCGGGAGGCGUUACCGGCAGAAGAAGCACCGGCUAACUCCGUGCCAGCAGCCGCGGUAAUAC
rnacentral:rRNA from 1 species